AAACUUUUAACAACGGAUCUCUUGGUUCUGGCAUCGAUGAAGAACGCAGCGAAAUGCGAUAAGUAAUGUGAAUUGCAGAAUUCAGUGAAUCAUCGAAUCUUUGAACGCACAUUGCGCCCGCCAGCAUUCUGGCGGGCAUGCCUGUUCGAGCGUC
rnacentral:rRNA from 16 species